ACACCCGUAUUGUUGGAUUAUGUGGGGUCUGCCCGAGCUUAUCCUUGUUCAUUUUUUAACACAAGCCGGCUCACUGAACCGCGCAUCGCCUCGUGGCCGCGUCUAAAAGAGUGCAGAGAUUUAACGCUGGAAAUGCCCUGAAACGCCCUAAAAAUGGCCGCAGCGCCCCGCAUUGGGGCAA
rnacentral:sRNA from 1 species